CAAUCCAUGAGUAAAGUCGGCGACCGGGUGAGUAACACGUGACUAACCUACCUUCGAGUGGGGGAUAACAUCGGGAAACCGAUGCUAAUACCGCAUAACAUCGCAAGAUCAAAGCAGCAAUGCGCUGGAAGAGGGGGUCGCGGCUGAUUAGCUAGUUGGCGGGGUAACGGCCCACCAAGGCGAAGAUCGGUAUCCGGCCUGAGAGGGCGCACGGACACACUGGAACUGAAACACGGUCCAGACUCCUACGGGAGGCAGCAGUGGGGAAUUUUGCGCAAUGGGGGAAACCCUGACGCAGCAACGCCGCGUGGAGGAUGAAGCCCCUUGGGGCGUAAACUCCUUUCGACCAAGACGAUAAUGACAGUACUGGUGGAAGAAGCACCGGCUAACUCUGUGCCAGCAGCCGCGGUUAAUACAGA
rnacentral:rRNA from 1 species